rnacentral:rRNA from 1 species
CAGCAGCCGCGGGAAUACGAAGGGUGCAAGCGUUGUCCGGAAUUAUUGGGCGUAAAGAGCUCGUAGGCGGUUUGUCGCGUCUGCUGUGAAAACUCGAGGCUCAACCUCGGGCCUGCAGUGGGUACGGGCAGACUAGAGUGCGGUAGGGGAGACUGGAAUUCCUGGUGUAGCGGUGGAAUGCGCAGAUAUCAGGAGGAACACCGAUGGCGAAGGCAGGUCUCUGGGCCGCAACUGACGCUGAGGAGCGAAAGCAUGGGGAGCGAACAGGAUUAGAUACCCCUGUAGUCCCUGUCUCUUAUAC